rnacentral:rRNA from 1 species
GAUGAACGCUGGCGGCGUGCCUAAUACAUGCAAGUCGAGCGAACAGACGAGGAGCUUGCUCCUCUGACGUUAGCGGCGGACGGGUGAGUAACACGUGGAUAACCUACCUAUAAGACUGGGAUAACUUCGGGAAACCGGAGCUAAUACCGGAUAAUAUAUUGAACCGCAUGGUUCAAUAGUGAAAGACGGUUUUGCUGUCACUUAUAGAUGGAUCCGCGCCGCAUUAGCUAGUUGGUAAGGUAACGGCUUACCAAGGCAACGAUGCGUAGCCGACCUGAGAGAUUGAUCGGCCACACUGGAACUGAGACACGGUCCAGACUCCGACGGGAGGCAGCAGUAGGGAAUCUUCCGCAAUGGGCGAAAGCAAUACGGAGCAACGCGGCGUGGGUGAUGAAGGUCUUCGGAUCGUAAAACUCUGUUAUUAGGGAAGAACAAAUGUGUAAGUAACUAUGCACGUCUUGACGGUACCUAAUCAGAAAGCCACGGCUAACUACGUG